ACCGGCCGCGCGGGAGAGCGCGGGGCAGGGCAACCUGAUCCGCCACCGAAGGAGCAACCGCCCCGGAAACUCUCAGGUCAAACGGACCGCGCAGGCUGG
rnacentral:ncRNA from 2 species